GGCUAUUUCAUGUUGAAACACUGGUUUUCAUUAGAUCACCAAAGUUAAGCAAUAUCAAGCCUGGUCAGUACCUAGACGGGUGACUGCUUGGAAAUAUCAGGUGCUGUAA